UUACUAUCAAUAAAAUUUGGUAUGGUGGAUAUAAACAACGAUUCACUUGGCUAGCUAAUAGAGCUCUCCCAUUUUCUACAUCUUACUAAUGUAGGUGCUCCUCCUAAACUUCGGAGAUGAAUUGCAGCCCGCGGCCUCUUCUACUGCACACCCAAGGGUGACAACCUCCACUGACUAGCAUCUUAGAUGCCCCUCGGCCACAUCGCCGCGUGAGAUAUUUUCAACGAAGAACCGCCAAAGCCUGAGGCAUGUUACAUUGGUACCCAAUAACAAUUUGAUUACGUCAUACCAGAUAUGAGUGACUAAUCCAGUCAUCCAGAUGACUUCAAUGCAAAUAGGUAGUCUUUGUGAAGGGAGUUAGCAUACAAGGACAUGGGAGACAAAUAAAGGCAGCUCGUGUGAAGGCAACUUGUCCGAGUUGUGGCCAUGGUGGUGGUGUGCCUCUCUUCCCAGGCUGAUUUCAAGAGCACACAAAAUCUCUUUUGUAUUAGAUGCUUCUAUUUGACUUACCUAGUGAGAAAACUAUGAGCCUUGCGCUGUAUAUGCAGCGCUAUGUUUCUUUUUAGAUUGAUAUUUUUAUUGGAAGGGUUAAUGAUUGAUGCACGUCUGUUGUUUGUAGCCAGCUUAAGAGUCAAUGAGCCAUCACUUUCCCAUCAGACUGUCGGACUGCGUGGUGGU